ACAGCAGCGAAGAAAUCUGACAUGAGAAUAGGUACUGGAGUAAAUAUUCUAGGCCAACUUGAUACAAUUGUUUGAAAAAAGUUAUCUAAUUUAUUUUGGAAAAAUACAUAGCACAAAAGAAAAGGGAGAAAUAAAGGAAAAGCGUUAGUUUUGCCCAUUCGAAUAUUUGGUUUCUGUGGCAAAUUAGAAGGAGAGAAAAAAUUAGAAAUAUUCAUGAACUCAAGAACUAACCAACAGGUCUACAAAGAGAGAAUUCUGCUAUUGGUUCUUCUUGGUCGACCAUUUUUACCAUUAUUCAGUUCACUUUGCUCGCAAAGAUAAAAAAUCUUAUUUCACCAGCUUGAUAUUCAACGACAGUCCGAAGAUCGAAAUUACAUAAGCUCCUUCUUUAGCUUUUCCUAAGAGACGAGUAUUCAAUUUUAGUUGAGUUUCUAAAUUUUGAGAGGUUGGAGAGGCAAUGGAAGAAAUAGAAACAUGAAGGAAAACUUUUAUAAUUUGUUCCAAAUGAAGAUUGUUGCACAACAAGUGCUCGGCAAAAUGAUCCAACCGGAUCUCUUCUCAUCCAUCACUCUUGACAACCACCAUCAAGAUGAGCAUGAAUUAUCACCGUCCACAGCUUCCAUCCACGCAACGAGAGGCCUUCAGCUUAGAUUUUAACUUUGAUGGAGACCAUGGAUUCAGUCCAUCUCUAAAAGCAAACUUGUAGUUGGUCAGAAGAUGCUACAACAGUCUCCGUUCAACCAUAUUAAAAAAAAAAAAAAAGGUUAGUUGAUGGGUCUUGGGCCAACCAACCCGUUUUUGUGAGAUAGAAUCUUGGAGUUUAUUUAAUUAGGACCACGUCUAUUGUGUUUGGACUUUAAAACCCAUUUAAUGGGCUGCAUUUUCUAUAUAUGUUUGGGCUUAUAAUGUU